rnacentral:rRNA from 1 species
UACGGAGGGUGCAAGCGUUAUCCGGAUUUACUGGGUUUAAAGGGUGCGCAGGCGGAUAUGUAAGUCAGUGGUGAAAAUCUCUAGGCUUAACCUGGAAAUUGCCGUUGAUACUAUAUAUCUUGAAUGUUGUGGAGGUAAGCAGAAUAUGUCAUGUAGCGGUGAAAUGCUUAGAUAUACAUAGAAUACCUAUUGCGAAGGCAGCUUACUUACGCAGA